rnacentral:rRNA from 1 species
GAGAGUUGGGUUAGUCCGCACGAGCGCACCUCACUUUUAGUUGCCAUCAUUAAGUUGGGCACUCUGAAAGAACUGCCAGUGAUAAGCUGGAGGAAGGUGGGGAUGACGUCAAGUCCUCAUGGCCCUUACGUGUUGGGCUACACACGUGCUACAAUGGCAUCUACAACAGGAAGCAAAACGGCAACGUUAAGCAAAUCCCGAAAAGAUGCCUCAGUUCGGAUUGCACUCUGCAACUCGAGUGCAUGAAGCUGGAAUUACUAGUAAUCGUGGAUCAGCGUGCCACGGUGAAUGCGUUCCCGGGUCUUGUACACACCGCCCGUCACACCAUGGGAGUUGGUUCUACCUUAAGGCAAGGUUUUAAACCCUUGACCACGGUAUAGUCAGCGACUGGGGUGAAGUCGUAACAAGGUAGCCGUAGGGGAACCUGCGGCUGGAUUACCUCCUUUCU